AGUAGGUCAACCACGGCAGAGAGGUUAAAAUUUGGAGUGUGACUUGAAGACACGGGAGAUUGCUGGAGUGGAACAAGAUCCUACAGAAGACAGUUGACCAAAACUUCCACCAGCACAAAGCUGGGUUACAGCAGGUGGUUUUACUGAUGACCUACUGCCACGGGCAUUGGUGGCGAGUUCCAGCAUGGGGACAGUUGUGUGGCAUGUAGGGAAGAAAGGACUGCAAAAGAGCCCCAAAUCGGGAGCUGUCACAGGAGAUCUUCACAGGCUGCCUGCCUCUCUGCGCCAUGCAUUGGCUGCUGGGCACCUGGCAUGUGCUGUCUGUGAUCUCGACACAGUCUACUGAGGACAGAGUGGGCUCACAAACAGAAUCUCUUAACUCCCUGAGAAGACUAUGGACAAAAAGAGGGCAUUAAAACAACAGGUGCGGCCUUGGCUAUGACCCUCCCUUCCUGAAUGAAGGCGAGGCCCACCUGAAGUGCUUUGUGCUGUACUGCUGAGGGGAACGUUGUAGUUGGAGGCACGAAUGGAUGACCAGGCACUAGUUGAAGGCAGCGUGGUGUUCAAGGAUGAGGACGACCCUGUGUGAGGGAAAAAGUCCAAUCAGCCACCAGGGCAAG